GCCGCAUGUUACAAUCCAUCCUUCUUUCAAUCCCCAUUAUCAAUUGCAAAAUUCUUCUUUGAAUCCUCAUCAAUAAUAUGAAUUCGGUCCAGCAAUCGAAGUGUCUUGCGAAGAAUAACAAACGAAGAUCAAGUUGAAGUGUCUCUCCAGCGAUUGAUAUCUUCAAUCGAGUCAAUAUUUGUUCUUUCUCUGGUUUUUGGUAUGGCUUUUUAUUCCUUUCACCAUCUCAAUUUUUCUACAACUGUGAUUGUUUAAUCAACUACAAGGAUAAUGGUGCUGGUGGCCUGAAAAGGAACGAUGACAAGGGCAUAGGUUGAUUUAGGGUUUCUCCGGUUGUGGUCUUAUGAUGGGUGUGGUUUAACGCGGCGGCGGCUAGGGUUCCACCACAUAACUUUGACCAGUUGUGGUUUCGGCCGGGUAUCGUAAACACAAUGUUGGGUUGAAAAGUCAAAAUGGAUGGCUAUGGGAUGGGAACAAAAGAUAGAAAGUAGUAGCAUGCUAUUCACUAAUUUUUCUGUACAUUGCAUGUUUCGUUACAAAAAACAGAGUAUGCAACAGGUUUGGAAAAACGAGCUUGACUCAGGGAAGCCUAUGGAACUCAUGUUGUCAGCCACUAAUUUGCAACAAGUAAAAGGUGUUAAAUAGAGGUACCAAAAAGGAUUCAUCAUCAGUAUCAUACUGUGAAAAUAAUUGGUCCAAUCUUGCCACGGUUACUACUGUGUUAGCAAAUCUUUGCAACUACCAUCCUAAUGAGGUCAAGUUCUCUGAGCUCACUCUUGACAACUUCAGAAUGCUUUAGUGUACAGAAUGGGAAUCCGAUGGUUCAUUCUACAAAUUAAGUGGAACCGCUUCUGCCAGUGGUCAAGGUUCUGGCCACCGUAUUUGAUGAGCUACCUCCUGAUGGAGUUCUCUUACUCUACUUACUCAACUUAUCAGCUCCAGCAAAGCUAUACCUACCUAAUUGCAUGGGAUGAUAUAACCGAUCAGAAAUAUAAAAAGUAUUACAUAAAUACCUUAGCACUUCACGUAUGUGAUGUCUGCGUGUUCACAUCCGGUCUCGUGCCACUGCUCCUGUCUAUAAAUGGGUGGACCGAGGUUGUACAGUUGUUAUUUUUGCUGAAAAUAUGUUGCUCUUCACGAUGAUAUCAUUUCCAAAGCUUUUUAAGAGAUCUUUAGCUGCUGGUUUGAUGGUUUACAACUGAGACAAACACUAGCUAACUGAUGGAGGGUUUCGGGAAUGGUCGGAUGUCCAGUUUUGGUUCCGGCAACUCCGAUGCAGGUCUGCAGUCAAAUUUUUAAACCACAACAUUGGUCCGAACAAUAGCUUUGAUUGUUAGGGAAGAAAGCCCUCAAUAGGGUUUCUAUGAUUGGUAGUGCAACAACAUUACAACGACAGUGGCAAGCUAGGGUUUUUUUACUUACUGAGAAGAUAACUUUUAUUAGUGAGGUAAUAUACUGCUUAGACCUAUUGUUUUGGUCGAAAUGGGUCGUAGCUGUAGCCGUCACUUAUGUGUAUAUUGAAACUAAUACGGAUAAUUUGGGUAUAUAUGGGUCAAAUAUCAAGACUUGUGAAUCCUUAAAAAGUCAGACGACACUAUCUCUUAAAAGAUGUUUUGUUUCUAUUGGUUCAUAUUCCAUGAUAUGCAAUUGUAGAUACAAAUUAUGAUAGAUAAUGAAGUUGUAAACUGUUCUUCACUGAUAAUGGUAGUGCAUGCAUAUUUUUUUUUGCAUUUUCUAACACUUUUGCAGGGAAAAAAUGCAUGUAUUACUGGUUUCAGUUGGAUACAUCAAUCCUCUUGGCUCUUGCUUAAGUCAAUGGUUGGCCAACAUCAAAAGUUAGAGCCGUUGCAUCCCGAGAAGAAGAUGAUGUGGAAACGGGAGAUGAACUGCUUACUCUCGGUUUAUGAUUACAUCGUUGAAUUUAUCCCAAUGUCACAUAGUUUAUAGAACGGAAAAGCCAUGGAGAUGAUGUCUAGCCGACCAAGGUCGGAUAUUUAUAUCAACCUUCCAGCGUUAAAGAAGCUCGACGCGCUCCCCUCUUAUUGGAAAUAUUGGAUAGCUUCAAAGAGACAGAAUUUUGGUAUGUGGAGCAAGGAAGCAUGUCGUGGUACAUUUACGGGUGAACCAGAAGUAAGCUGAAAAGAAUGCAACCAUGACAGCUUGGUCAUCUUUGAAACUUUGAUGAGAUUGUGAGUGCUUCAGGAUGAGUUUGGUAUCGCUGUGGAAUAUGAGAGUGCCCAGAGCAUAGAAAAUCGAUCAAGAUGCAGCCUAUCUUUUUGAGACAAUCUUAUAAAAUUAUGAUUAUAACCAUGUUACCGAAUAUGAGGAUACAAAAAAGUAAGAUCUAAGCUCUAUUGGCAAAUAUUCUUGCUGUAACAUAAUAUUGUCAAGGUUGUUCUUUUUACCUCUAUUUUUUCUUGAUUUUUUGGUUAAAUUAUGAAGUCAA